rnacentral:rRNA from 1 species
GACGAACGCUGGCGGCGUGCUUAACACAUGCAAGUCGAACGGAAAGGCCCCUUUGGGGGUCCUCGAGUGGCGAACGGGUGAGUAACACGUGCGUAACCUGCCCUUGACUUCGGGAUAACUUCAGGAACCUGGGGCUAAUACCGGAUCGGAAUCCUUGCUGCAUGGUGGGGGUUGGAAAGCUUCGGCGGUUUUGGAUGGACUCGCGGCGUAUCUGCUUGUUGGUGGGGUAGUGGCUUACCAAGGCGUUGACGGGUAGCCGGCCUGUGUGGGCGACCGGCCACAUUGAGACUGAGAGACGGCCCAGACUCCGACGGGAGGCAGCAGUGGGGAAUAUUGCACAAUGGGCGGAAGCCGGAUGCAGCAACGCCGCGGGCGGGAUGACGGCCUUCGGGUUGUAAACCGCUUUCAGCAGGGGCGAAGCUUGUGGUGACGGUACCUGCAGAAGAAGCACCGGCUAACUACGUG